GACGAACGCUGGCGGCGUGCUUAACACAUGCAAGUCGAACGGAAAGGCCCUGCUUUUGUGGGGUGCUCGAGUGGCGAACGGGUGAGUAACACGUGAGUAACCUGCCCUUGACUUUGGGAUAACUUCAGGAAACUGGGGCUAAUACCGGAUAGGAGCUCCUGCUGCAUGGUGGGGGUUGGAAAGUUUCGGCGGUUGGGGAUGGACUCGCGGCUUGUCAGCUUGUUGGUGGGGUAGUUGCUUACCAAGGCUUUGACGGGUAGCCGGCCUGAGAGGGUGACCGGCCACAUUGGGACUGAGAUACGGCCCAGACUCCUACGGGAGGCAGCAGUGGGGAAUAUUGCACAAUGGGCGGAAGCCUGAUGCAGCAACGCCGCGUGCGGGAUGACGGCCUUCGGGUUGUAAACCGCUUUCGCCUGUGACGAAGCGUGAGUGACGGUAAUGGGUAAAGAAGCACCGGCUAACUACGUG
rnacentral:rRNA from 1 species